rnacentral:rRNA from 1 species
UACGGAGGGAGCUAGCGUUGUUCGGAAUUACUGGGCGUAAAGCGCGCGUAGGCGGCUUUGUAAGUUAGAGGUGAAAGCCCGGGGCUCAACCCCGGAAUUGCCUUUAAGACUGCAUCGCUAGAAUCCGGGAGAGGUGAGUGGAAUUCCGAGUGUAGAGGUGAAAUUCGUAGAUAUUCGGAAGAACACCAGUGGCGAAGGCGGCGAUCUGGGAAGAUACUGACGCUGAGGUGCGAAAGCGUGGGGAGCAAACAGG